rnacentral:rRNA from 1 species
GGAAUAUAUUUUUGUCCCGGCGAAUUCCAACCCUGCGCUGCGCCGCGUGCGUCGUCGUCGCCGCCGCGAUCCCACGGUGCCGUCGCACGAGCGCGCGAGAUUACGUUCGGGAAGUGAGUACAAAAUAAUCCGUCCGGGAGAGAACAAGUGGCUGCCGCGCGUACGUGUCCGGCGCACGCGCGUUAUCCAGCCGCCGACAGCGCCAAACAUUUCCCCGGCCGGCCGCUUUUUAUUCCCUCCCGCGUCCCUCUCUCACUCCCGCGCGCAGAAGCAGAGCCAAACGCCAAGACGCAAAGCGAUCGGGAGCUUCCCGAUCCCCCUGUCCUGUAGCCGCGCGUGGGAAAGGAGGCUGCAACUUUUCCUCGGUGCGGCGGCCGGUCCGCGUAUAUAUAGCAAAUGGAGAGGAGCUGGUUCGGGUGGAGGAAGGCGAAGCAGGGCGGAGGUGGCGGUGCCGGCGGCGGCGGCGGGGAGAGGGAGGAGGAGGAUCAGGCCAAGGUGGUGGUGGACGGGUCGGGGAUACGGGAGCUGGUGGAGGACAGGGAGGCGUUCGGCAUGUUCGCGGAGACCAAGUUCCGGCAGCUCGACGCCGACGGGGACGGCCGGCUGUCCGUGCGGGAGCUGCAGCCCGCCGUGGCCGACAUCGGCGCGUCGCUCGGCCUGCCCGCGCAGGGCUCCUCGCCCAACGCCGACCACAUCUACUCCGAGGCUAUGAGCGAGUUCACUCAUGGUCACGGGAACCAAGAGGGGGUGAGCAGGGCAGAGUUCCAGGAGGUCUUGUCCGACAUUCUCCUCGGAAUGGCGGCCGGGCUCAAGAAGGAUCCGAUCGUGAUACUGCGCAUCGACGGCGAGGACCUCAGGGACUUCGUGUCCAGCCCAAGGUAUGAGCCGGCAGUCGCUGCCAUCUUCUCACAAGUUGGGUCUGAAGAUGCCCCUCUCCGGCAGUGCCUGCUAGCCGCCGUUCAGCAGCUCGGCGUCGACCACGGCAUGCCCCCAGCCGCUGACCCUUGGGUGGUAGAGAACGUGGUAGAGCCGGCAUUGCAGCAGCUCUCCGCCGAUGAGCUCGAGCAACCGGCGUCCCGGGACGUCUUCUUCGAGCAGCUGAAGAAGCUGCUGGGCAGUGUGGCGGAACAGCUUCAGGAGCGGCACGUCAUCGUUGCGCACACCGAGAACACCUUCGACGGGAGCGGUGUCAGGAGGCUGCUGGGAAACAAGUUCGAGCUGGACAAGCUGCUGGAUUCUGUGUGGAGGGACGUGCCGGCAGAGCACAAGAAGAAGGCGCCCAAGGACAAGGAGCACCUGCGAGUCGCACUCGAUAAGAUGGCCGAUGCAGCAAGCUUACCACCUCAUGGCGCUGUUGCUCAGGUGGACGCCGUCGUGGACGAGGCGCUCAAGGUGGCGGACGCCGGCGACGGGAAGGCGGUCCAAGAAGGGGAGUUUAAGAAGCUGCUGACGGAGGUCCUUGGGGCCGUGAUGCUGCGGCUGAGCGGCGAACCGAUCUUCUUCUCCACCAGCACAGUCGUCCACGAGCCGCUGUCCAGCUCGUCCGCCCUGUUGCCGUCGCUGGCGGUGGCAUCGCCGCCGAGCGAGUAGCAAUAUGCACAUGAAAGUUCGUCAAGUACUCUGGUUAAUGUAUAAGUUUGGAAUAAGGCUACCAAGCCAGAAAGACACAUUGUCAAUGGGAAAUGCUACUGAUGCUAUACCACUACGUGCGAAAGCAUCUGUGUUUUGAUGAAAAAAUGGGAGAAGAAACAUUCAGCUUUCAUUUCUAAUAAUAAUCAGGAAAAGAAAGUAAUCGUUGGGUAGAAAAUGAUGCUCCAGUUUGUCAACCUUGGUAUAAUUCGAAGCGAAAAGAAAAACAUGAAUCACUACGCAAGUACUGCAAGACAUGCCAAUAGUUUCCUAAGGUUCACGAUGGACAACAUGAAUCUACGAAAGCACUGGAAGACAUGGAGUCAUUGCAUCGCUUCACACCUCAAUGGUUUUGUUCCAGAAAGUUCAUACGCAUCACAGCGUCAGUGCACGGAAGAAGAAAAAGUCUCGUCGCUUCCUAAGGUUAUACGGAUCUAGCAUAACGUCAAUGGUAACACAAAGGACACAUGCCUUGUUUAAGGAUC